GGGCUGCUGCAGUCCGGGGUGCUGGCCGCCGGCUCCCAUCUGGCGUUGGUGACGCGCCGGGGAAAGGUGCUGCGGAUCGACCCCGCAGCGGUCAA
rnacentral:tRNA from 1 species